AAUUCUAAAAGUAAUCUUAGCUUUUGAUUUCUUGAUCUUGUGGCUGAGAUUUGUUCUCUAGUUAUAUACUUAAGAGUAUUUGCCCCAUAUCACUACUGUAUAGGGACAUAUAUAGGGACGUGAUGGUGUUCGAAUUAACAUAUGUGAUAAAAUGUGUUAUAAUAUGUGUGUAACUCUGAUAUGCUGAUAUCUGGUCCAUGAAAUCAGAUUUUGUUAUAUGUGUUUUCUAUUGAGUUAUGAUACUAGUGUUAAGAGUUAGGGAUUUAAUCACUUGUUUUAUCAAUGCAUAUGAAGUUCUGUAUCAGUAUAUACUCUACUAAAAGUCUACUAUAAGCCUCGGAAGUCUGAAUGUGUGGAAAGAGAUUCAGUUGCCAAAACUGGUAUGUAGAUAAACUGAAUAAGUAAACUCAAACAAGGUAAAAGUAGUUAGAAAUCGAUAACAUACAUAAAGUGAUAAAGGGACUAUCAUAAUGCUUCUAAAUUUUUGAAGAUUUUGUCUGAAUAUAUUUUUCUCUACUGGACUAAUAAGCUCACCUCACGCCCUUCCUUUACGCAGAUUAAUGUCAGGACUUUGAAAAAUGUAUACAGAUAUGCAUAAAAGUAUUAUUUUCAACUCUCAUGAUAUAAAUUAAACUCUAGUUGUUCUCUAUAAAAAAAUUGCCUUAAAAGUCACAUAUUUCAAAAAUAAGAAAAUUUUGUUUUUCCAAUGUGAUUACUUUUUCGAAUCUUUGGUAAUUGCGUAAAAAAGGUUACACUGUAGCUAUACUAUUAUUACACCCACCGUCCACUAGUGUAAUAGUUUUAAUGCUCCCCCUAGUGUCCCCAAUUUGUUGGCGUGCUUUCUCAGAUAUAGAUUUGCGGUUACAAUAUCUUCUUCGGCUUGAAAAUUGGAUAGAGAUAUAUACGAUAAUAAGUUUGGGUGCUCUUACCUUCACUUACCUAAUCCUCGUCCUCCUUGAUAGCACUAAGUUGAGCUUCCUUGGACACCCCAAUGGUGCUGAUCUCCUUGAACUUCACCAUACGCUUUACCACAUCUGGUCCUUCACUAUCACUCAUCUUCACAUAAGCCAAAAAACAAAUUGAAACUAAACAUAUUCAAACACAUGCCAUCAUCAACAAUGUCACUUCUUGCCUUGAAAACUAGAGCAUCAUUAGAUCGUCUUGCUGAUUCUAGAGUCCGUGUGUCAUGACUUAAAUAUUUGUAAACAAAGCUCCUGACUUAAAUAAUUGUAAAUAAGUUACAAUUGUAAGUUGAGGUUUCCAGUUGUGCUAGGCCUUGCUAGAGGUCUCAAAGCUGGUAUCUCAUAUCUUCAUUCUUGAUGUCAUGAAGAUCACGCUGCCGUGCAACCAUUUUGUUUGGAGGAAUCUCUUCGCAUCCUGCACAACAAGCACCACCAUGGCUACUGUCACGUCUAUGUUUAACCAUUGAUAAUCAAUCUGGAUCGAGUUACAAAUACUAAUUGAUGCAUAAACAAACAUAUAGAGAACGGUUGAAUUGGUAACUGUUAACAUGCUGAUUUGAGGAGAUAACACGAGAAAAGUGGAGUUUUAGUGAGCAGGAUUGGAAAUCAACAAAGUAACGAUGCGCCUUGAUCAAGUGAAAACAGAAGUGAAAAAUGGCUGAGAAAUGGACCAAAACUGAUCAAGUGGGCGAAAGAUGGAGUAACCAUGCCAGGCGGCCAUGCAGAUUGAUCAAGCGGAUCUACUACCAAUGAAGCUGCAAAGGAUGAGUCAGAGGAGAGAGAAUGCAAAUAUGCAAGGGUAUUAAUGCCAAAUCAUGAAGGAUUUGCCCUACAGAUUGGUGUUGAGGCCGUCCUAUAAAUAGAAGAGGAAGCUCCGAAGAUCAGGAGAGGAGACUUAUCAUCACCAAGCGAGGAUCACUUAGCCUACAAUUAUCAGAGAUGAUACACACUACUCCAGGGGAAUCAGCAGCAACCAUGGGGAAGGAAGCUAGAAAAGUCAGUUUCUACUGGAAGAAUACUCUCUACCUCCUCGCUUGGAGGGAAAGAGCUUAGUUUAGAAAGAAUCUACACUCUGUUUCUGUGUUCUUAAGCUCUGAGGAGCCAAUACAAUCGUUUAAUUUCGUAUCCUGUUUGUUUCCGAGAUAUUUGUUCUGAAUUUUGUUGUUUCCCAGUUUUCCUUAGUUAAA